UAGGGAAUAUUGGACAAUGGGCGAAAGCCUGAUCCAGCAACGCCGCGUGUGCGAAGACGGCCUUCGGGUUGUAAAGCACUUUUAGAGGAGAUGAGAAAGGACAGUAUCCUCUGAAUAAGCCUCGGCGAACUACGUGCCAGCAGCCGCGGUAAAACGUAGGAGGCUAGCGUUAUCCGGAUUUAUUGGGCGUAAAGCGCGUGCAGGCGGUCUAUCAAGUUGGAUGUGAAAGCUCCUGGCUUAACUGGGAGAGGUCGUUCAAAACUGAUAGUCUAGAGAAUGGUAGAGGGAGGUGGAAUUCCAGGUGUAGCGGUGGAAUGCGCAGAUAUCUGGAGGAACACCAGUGGCGAAGGCGGCCUCCUGGACCAUUCCUGACACUCAGACGCGAAAGCUAGGGUAGCAAACG
rnacentral:rRNA from 1 species